CAGGAUGAACGCUAGCUACAGGCUUAACACAUGCAAGUCGAGGGGCAUCAGGAAGAAAGCUUGCUUUCUUUGCUGGCGACCGGCGCACGGGUGAGUAACACGUAUCCAACCUGCCCUUUACUCGGGGAUAGCCUUUCGAAAGAAAGAUUAAUACCCGAUAGCAUAAUGAUUCCGCAUGGUUUCAUUAUUAAAGGAUUCCGGUAAAGGAUGGGGAUGCGUUCCAUUAGGUUGUUGGUGAGGUAACGGCCCACCAAGCCUUCGAUGGAUAGGGGUUCUGAGAGGAAGGUCCCCCACAUUGGAACUGAGACACGGUCCAAACUCCUACGGGAGGCAGCAGUGAGGAAUAUUGGUCAAUGGGCGCUAGCCUGAACCAGCCAAGUAGCGUGAAGGAUGAAGGCUCUAUGGGUCGUAAACUUCUUUUAUAUAAGAAUAAAGUGCAGUAUGUAUACUGUUUUGUAUGUAUUAUAUGAAUAAGGAUCGGCUAACUCCGUGCCAGCAGCCGCGGUAAUACGGAGGAUCCGAGCGUUAUCCGGAUUUAUUGGGUUUAAAGGGAGCGUAGGUGGACUGGUAAGUCAGUUGUGAAAGUUUGCGGCUCAACCGUAAAAUUGCAGUUGAUACUGUCAGUCUUGAGUACAGUAGAGGUGGGCGGAAUUCGUGGUGUAGCGGUGAAAUGCUUAGAUAUCACGAAGAACUCCGAUUGCGAAGGCAGCUCACUGGACUGCAACUGACACUGAUGCUCGAAAGUGUGGGUAUCAAACAGGAUUAGAUACCCUGGUAGUCCACACAGUAAACGAUGAAUACUCGCCGUUUGCGAUAUACAGUAAGCGGCCAAGCGAAAGCAUUAAGUAUUCCACCUGGGGAGUACGCCGGCAACGGUGAAACUCAAAGGAAUUGACGGGGGCCCGCACAAGCGGAGGAACAUGUGGUUUAAUUCGAUGAUACGCGAGGAACCUUACCCGGGCUUAAAUUGCAGUGGAAUGAUGUGGAAACAUGUCAGUGAGCAAUCACCGCUGUGAAGGUGCUGCAUGGUUGUCGUCAGCUCGUGCCGUGAGGUGUCGGCUUAAGUGCCAUAACGAGCGCAACCCUUAUCUUCAGUUACUAACAGGUCAUGCUGAGGACUCUGGAGAGACUGCCGUCGUAAGAUGUGAGGAAGGUGGGGAUGACGUCAAAUCAGCACGGCCCUUACGUCCGGGGCUACACACGUGUUACAAUGGGGGGUACAGAAGGCAGCUAGCGGGUGACCGUAUGCUAAUCCCAAAAGCCUCUCUCAGUUCGGAUCGAAGUCUGCAACCCGACUUCGUGAAGCUGGAUUCGCUAGUAAUCGCGCAUCAGCCACGGCGCGGUGAAUACGUUCCCGGGCCUUGUACACACCGCCCGUCAAGCCAUGGGAGCCGGGGGUACCUGAAGUACGUAACCGCAAGGAUCGUCCUAGGGUAAAAC
rnacentral:rRNA from 1 species